CCUACGGGUGGCAGCAGUCGAGAAUCAUUCACAAUGGGGGAAACCCUGAUGGUGCGACGCCGCGUGGGGGAAUGAAGGUCUUCGGAUUGUAAACCCCUGUCAUGUGGGAGCAAAUUAAAAAGAUAGUACCACAAGAGGAAGAGACGGCUAACUCUGUGCCAGCAGCCGCGGUAAUACAGUGGUCUCAAGCGUUGUUCGGAAUCACCGGGCGUAAAGCGUGCGGAGGCUGUUACGUAAGUCGUGAGUGAAAGGCCCCGGCUCAACCCGCGGACUGCACAUGAUACUGCGAAACUAGAGUAAUGGAGGGGGAACUGGAAUUCUUGGUGUAGCAGUGAAAUGCGUAGAUAUCGAGAGGAACACUAGUGGCGAAGGCGGGUUACUGGACAUUAACUGACGCUGAGGCACGAAGGCCAGGGGAGCGAAAGGGAUUAGAUACCCUUGUAGUC
rnacentral:rRNA from 1 species